AAAAUCUCGAAACAGACUUCAUCCAAGACAACGAGAUACAGAUAAACACAGUCGGAUCGUCGUCUAGGCUCUGAUACCAUGUAAACAUUAAUAUUAUACCAAGAAAUCAUGGAAAAUGUAGAGAGAGAAACUAGAGAGAAGGAGGAGCGUUUGGAACUCUCUAGAAUAGAGAGAGAGAGUUUAUUACAGAGAAAAUAAAAUGAAAAUGAAGUCCGGUAGGUGAGAAAAUAUCUCACGUACACUAUAUACAGGAUACAAACUAAC
rnacentral:lncRNA from 1 species